ensembl:snoRNA Gm24236 small nucleolar RNA SNORA70
UUGAAAAAAAAAAAGAUAACCAAGUUUCUUCCCCAUAAGGACCUGAUGUGCAAUGGUGGCAAACAGCAGUCUCCUGGGUAGUGUAUGAAGCCUGUUGCCUAUACAAGUUGCCUUAUGACACCUUGUAGAGGAUU